rnacentral:rRNA from 1 species
GGGUGAGUAAUGCUUAGGAAUCUACCGAGUAGUGGGGGAUAGCCAUUGGAAACGAUGAUUAAUACCGCAUAUAUCCUACGGGGGAAAGCAGGGGACCUUCGGGCCUUGCGCUAUUCGAUGAGCCUGAGUGAGAUUAGCUAGUUGGUGGGGUAAAGGCCUACCAAGGCGACGAUCUCUAGCUGGUCUGAGAGGAUGAUCAGCCACACUGGGACUGAGACACGGCCCAGACUCCUACGGGAGGCAGCAGUGGGGAAUAUUGCACAAUGGACGAAAGUCUGAUGCAGCCAUGCCGCGUGUGUGAAGAAGGCCUUCGGGUUGUAAAGCACUUUCAGCGAGGAGGAAAGGUCAGUAAGUAAUAUUUGCUGGCUGUGACGUUACUCGCAGAAGAAGCACCGGCUAAUUUAGUGCCAGCAGCCGCGGUAAUACUAAAGGUGCAAGCGUUAAUCGGAAUUACUGGGCGUAAAGCGCGCGUAGGUGGUUUGUUAAGUUGGAUGUGAAAGCCCAGGGCUCAACCUUGGAACUGCAUUCAAAACUGACUCACUAGAGUACGAGAGAGGUUAGUGGAAUUUCCUGUGUAGCGGUGAAAUGCGUAGAGAUGGGAAGGAAC